GCACGAAUGGCGUAACGAUCUCCCCGCUGUCUCAAACGUGGACUCAGCGAAAUUGAACUGUGUGUCAAGAUGCACACUACCCGCGGUUAGACGGAAAGACCCCAUGAACCUUUACUCUAGCUUUGCACUGGCAUCAGGAUUGUGAUGUGCAGGAUAGGUGGUGGGCUUUGAAACCGGGACGCCAGUCUCGGCGGAGCCUCCCUUGAGAUACCACCCUUCGCACUCUUGAUGUCUAACCGCGACCCGUUAUCCGGGUCCGGGACCCUGCAUGGUGGGGAGUUUGACUGGGGCGGUCGCCUCCCAAAUCGUAACGGAGGCGCGCGAUGGUUGGCUCAGACCGGUCGGAAAUCGGUCGUUGAGUGCAAUGGCAGAAGCCAGCCUGACUGCAAGUCUGACAAGACGAGCAGAGACGAAAGUCGGUCAUAGUGAUCCGGUGGUCCCAAGUGGGAGGGCCAUCGCUCAACGGAUAAAAGGUACUCUGGGGAUAACAGGCUGAUGAUGCCCAAGAGUCCAUAUCGACGGCAUCGUUUGGCACCUCGAUGUCGGCUCAUCUCAUCCUGGGGCUGGAGCAGGUCCCAAGGGUAUGGCUGUUCGCCAUUUAAAGAGGUACGUGAGCUGGGUUUAGAACGUCGUGAGACAGUUCGGUCCCUAUCUGCCGUGGGUGCAGGAUACUUGAUGGGAGUUGCCCCUAGUACGAGAGGACCGGGGUGAACGAUCCACUGGUGGACCAGUUAUCGUGCCAACGGUAGUGCUGGGUAGCUAUGAUCGGACAGGAUAAACGCUGAAGGCAUCUAAGCGUGAAGCCCCCCCAAAAACUAGGUAUCCCUUGAGGGCCGUGGUAGACCACCACGUCGAUAGGCCAGAGAUGUAAGCGCGGCAACGCGUUCAGUUGACUGGUACUAAUUGCCCGAUUGGCUUGAUUUG
rnacentral:ncRNA from 1 species